rnacentral:tRNA from 1 species
GACCUCGUAGCUCAGUUGGCAGAGCUUCCGGCUUUUAACCGGAGAGUCGUGGGUUCGAGUCCCACCGGGGUCA